rnacentral:rRNA from 1 species
CGCGGCCUAUCAGCUUGUUGGUGAGGUAAUGGCUCACCAAGGCGACGACGGGUAGCCGGCCUGAGAGGGCGACCGGCCACACUGGGACUGAGACAUGGCCCAGACUCCUACGGGAGGCAGCAGUGGGGAAUAUUGCACAAUGGGCGAAAGCCUGAUGCAGCGACGCCGCGUGAGGGAUGACGGCCUUCGGGUUGUAAACCUCUUUCAGCAGGGAAGAAGCGAAAGUGACGGUACCUGCAGAAGAAGCGCCGGCUAACUACGUGCCAGCAGCCGCGGUAAUACGUAGGGCGCAAGCGUUGUCCGGAAUUAUUGGGCGUAAAGAGCCCGUAGGCGGUCUGUCGCGUCGGAUGUGAAAGCCCGGGGCUUAACCCCGGGUCUGCAUUCGAUACGGGCAGACUAGAGUGUGGUAGGGGAGAUCGGAAUUCCUGGUGUAGCGGUGAAAUGCGCAGAUAUCAGGAGGAACACCGGUGGCGAAGGCGGAUCUCUGGGCCAUUACUGACGCUGAGGAGCGAAAGCGUGGGGAGCGAACAGGAUUAGAUACCCUGGUAGUCCACGCCGUAAACGGUGGGAACUAGGUGUUGGCGACA